rnacentral:rRNA from 1 species
GGUUAAGUGACUAAGCGUACACGGUGGAUGCCUUGGCAGUCAGAGGCGAUGAAAGACGUAGUAACUUGCGAUAAGCCCAGAUUAGGUAGUAACAACCAUUUGAGUCUGGGAUUUCUGAAUGGGGAAACCCACUUACAUAAGUAAGUAUCAUUAACUGAAUACAUAGGUUAAUGAGGCGAACCGGGGGAACUGAAACAUCUAAGUACCCCGAGGAAAAGAAAUCAACCGAGAUUCCGAAAGUAGCGGCGAGCGAAAUUGGACUAGCCCUUAAGCUUUACACGCGUUAGACGAACGGUCUGGAAAGUCCGACGAUACAGGGUGAUAGUCCCGUAGUUGACGACGUGUGUUCAGUGAAAUCGAGUAGGGCGGGACACGUGAUAUCCUGUCUGAAUAUGGGGGGACCAUCCUCCAAGGCUAAAUACUACUGACUGACCGAUAGUGAACCAGUACCGUGAGGGAAAGGCGAAAAGAACCCCUGUGAGGGGAGUGAAAUAGAACCUGAAACCGUGUACGUACAAGCAGUAGGAGCAGGCUUUGUCCUGUGACUGCGUACCUUUUGUAUAAUGGGUCAGCGACUUAUAUUCAGUGGCAAGGUUAACCAUCUAGGGGAGCCGUAGGGAAACCGAGUCUUAACUGGGCGUUCAGUCUCUGGAUAUAGACCCGAAACCAGGUGAUCUAGCCAUGGGCAGGUUGAAGGUUGAGUAACAUCAACUGGAGGACCGAACCGACUAAUGUUGAAAAAUUAGCGGAUGACUUGUGGCUAGGGGUGAAAGGCCAAUCAAACCUGGAGAUAGCUGGUUCUCCCCGAAAGCUAUUUAGGUAGCGCCUCGGACGAAUACUACUGGGGGUAGAGCACUGUUAAGGCUAGGGGGUCAUCCCGACUUACCAACCCUUUGCAAACUCCGAAUACCAGUAAGUACUAUCCGGGAGACACACGGCGGGUGCUAACGUCCGUCGUGGAGAGGGAAACAACCCAGACCGCCAGCUAAGGUCCCAAAUUACUACUAAGUGGGAAACGAUGUGGGAAGGCUCAGACAGCCAGGAUGUUGGCUUAGAAGCAGCCAUCAUUUAAAGAAAGCGUAAUAGCUCACUGGUCGAGUCGGCCUGCGCGGAAGAUGUAACGGGGCUAAGUAGUAAACCGAAGCUGCGGCAAUGUGCUUUUGCACAUUGGGUAGGGGAGCGUUCUGUAAGCGGUUGAAGGUGUGUGGUAACGCAUGCUGGACGUAUCAGAAGUGCGAAUGCUGACAUGAGUAACGAUAAAGGGGGUGAAAAACCUCCUCGCCGGAAGACCAAGGGUUCCUGUCCAACGUUAAUCGGGGCAGGGUAAGUCGACCCCUAAGGCGAGGCCGAAAGGCGUAGUCGAUGGGAAACGGGUUAAUAUUCCCGUACUUCUUACAAUUGCGAUGGGGGGACGGAGAAGGCUAGGUGGGCCUGGCGACGGUUGUCCAGGUUCAAGUGCGUAGGCUUAAGAGUUAGGUAAAUCCGGCUCUUUUUAAGGCUGAGACACGACGUCGAGCACCUACGGGUGUGAAGUCAUUGAUGCCAUGCUUCCAGGAAAAGCCUCUAAGCUUCAGAUUGUAAGGAAUCGUACCCCAAACCGACACAGGUGGUCGGGUAGAGAAUACCAAGGCGCUUGAGAGAACUCGGGUGAAGGAACUAGGCAAAAUGGUACCGUAACUUCGGGAGAAGGUACGCUCUCGACGGUGAAGUCCCUCGCGGAUGGAGCUAUUGAGAGUCGCAGAUACCAGGUGGCUGCAACUGUUUAUUAAAAACACAGCACUGUGCAAAAUCGUAAGAUGACGUAUACGGUGUGACGCCUGCCCGGUGCCGGAAGGUUAAUUGAUGGGGUUAGACUUCGGUCGAAGCUCUUGAUCGAAGCCCCGGUAAACGGCGGCCGUAACUAUAACGGUCCUAAGGUAGCGAAAUUCCUUGUCGGGUAAGUUCCGACCUGCACGAAUGGCGUAAUGAUGGCCACGCUGUCUCCACCCGAGACUCAGUGAAAUUGAAAUCGCUGUGAAGAUGCAGUGUACCCGCGGCUAGACGGAAAGACCCCGUGAACCUUUACUACAGCUUGGCACUGAACAUUGACCCUACAUGUGUAGGAUAGGUGGGAGGCUUUGAAGCAGGUACGCCAGUAUCUGUGGAGCCGUCCUUGAAAUACCACCCUUGUAGUGUUGAUGUUCUAACGUCGACCCCUUAUCGGGGUUGCGGACAGUGCCUGGUGGGUAGUUUGACUGGGGCGGUCUCCUCCCAAAGAGUAACGGAGGAGCACGAAGGUGGGCUAAUCACGGUUGGACAUCGUGAGGUUAGUGCAAUGGCAUAAGCCCGCUUGACUGCGAGAAUGACAAUUCGAGCAGGUGCGAAAGCAGGUCAUAGUGAUCCGGUGGUUCUGAAUGGAAGGGCCAUCGCUCAACGGAUAAAAGGUACUCCGGGGAUAACAGGCUGAUACCGCCCAAGAGUUCAUAUCGACGGCGGUGUUUGGCACCUCGAUGUCGGCUCAUCACAUCCUGGGGCUGAAGUCGGUCCCAAGGGUAUGGCUGUUCGCCAUUUAAAGUGGUACGCGAGCUGGGUUUAGAACGUCGUGAGACAGUUCGGUCCCUAUCUGCCGUGGGCGUUGGAAGAUUGAAGGGGGCUGCUCCUAGUACGAGAGGACCGGAGUGGACGAACCUCUGGUGUUCGGGUUGUGUCGCCAGACGCAUUGCCCGGUAGCUAAGUUCGGAAUCGAUAACCGCUGAAAGCAUCUAAGCGGGAAGCGAGCCCUGAGAUGAGUCUUCCCUGAUACUUUAAGUAUCCUAAAGGGUUGUCGGAGACUACGACGUUGAUAGGUCAGGUGUGUAAGUGCUGUGAGGCAUUGAGCUAACUGAUACUAAUUGCCCGUGAGGCUUAACCAU